AAUGCAAGUCGAGCGAAAGACGAGGAGCUUGCUCCUCUGACGUUAGCGGCGGACGGGUGAGUAACACGUGGAUAACCUACCUAUAAGACUGGGAUAACUUCGGGAAACCGGAGCUAAUACCGGAUAAUAUAUUGAACCGCAUGGUUCAAUAGUGAAAGACGGUUUUGCUGUCACUUAUAGAUGGAUCCGCGCCGCAUUAGCUAGUUGGUAAGGUAACGGCUUACCAAGGCAACGAUGCGUAGCCGACCUGAGAGGGUGAUCGGCCACACUGGAACUGAGACACGGUCCAGACUCCUACGGGAGGCAGCAGUAGGGAAUCUUCCGCAAUGGGCGAAAGCCUGACGGAGCAACGCCGCGUGAGUGAUGAAGGUCUUCGGAUCGUAAAACUCUGUUAUUAGGGAAGAACAAAUGUGUAAGUAACUAUGCACGUCUUGACGGUACCUAAUCAGAAAGCCACGGCUAACUACGUGCCAGCAGCCGCGGUAAUACGUAGGUGGCAAGCGUUAUCCGGAAUUAUUGGGCGUAAAGCGCGCGUAGGCGGUUUUUUAAGUCUGAUGUGAAAGCCCACGGCUCAACCGUGGAGGGUCAUUGGAAACUGGAAAACUUGAGUGCAGAAGAGGAAAGUGGAAUUCCAUGUGUAGCGGUGAAAUGCGCAGAGAUAUGGAGGAACACCAGUGGCGAAGGCGACUUUCUGGUCUGUAACUGACGCUGAUGUGCGAAAGCGUGGGGAUCAAACAGGAUUAGAUACCCUGGUAGUCCACGCCGUAAACGAUGAGUGCUAAGUGUUAGGGGGUUUCCGCCCCUUAGUGCUGCAGCUAACGCAUUAAGCACUCCGCCUGGGGAGUACGACCGCAAGGUUGAAACUCAAAGGAAUUGACGGGGACCCGCACAAGCGGUGGAGCAUGUGGUUUAAUUCGAAGCAACGCGAAGAACCUUACCAAAUCUUGACAUCCUCUGACCCCUCUAGAGAUAGAGUUUUCCCCUUCGGGGGACAGAGUGACAGGUGGUGCAUGGUUGUCGUCAGCUCGUGUC
rnacentral:rRNA from 1 species